rnacentral:misc_RNA from 1 species
GUGAAUCAUCAAAUUUUUGAACGCAAAUUGCACUCUCUUCGGAGAGUAUGCCUGUUUGAGGGUCAGCCUAAAAAAAAUCGACAUAGUUGCUGUUUCGCGGUGACGUUCGUCGGAAAUUGGUUCAUCUUAAACCUUUGGGUUUUAAGCGGCUUAAAAUUUUCUUUUCGAUUCAACGAACGUUUCUAAGAUUUAUUUCUUAACCUUUUAAGGGAAUCGAUCUUUAUUAGACUUGACCGUUG